rnacentral:snRNA from 1 species
UCACUUCAGCAGCACAAAUACUAAACGCAAUGAUGAGGAGAGAGCAUGGAUCCUGUGGAAGGAUGACAUGAAAAAUUAAUUAAGCAUUACAUAUUUUU